AAUUUAAAAAAUAUAGAAUGACACAUGUCAUUUUUUUGUGUGAUGAUGUGUCAUUCAUAUGGAAAGAGUUGGCCAACUUUCAUAUAUAUGAUUAGAUUUCUAAAUGAUCAUUGCCGUAAUAUUAGUAAAGAUGUGUCCAGUGUUUUAGCAAUUUUUACCAAACUAAUUUUGAUUUACA
rnacentral:sRNA from 1 species